AGUUUCUUGUGUUUUUAUAAGAAAUGUUUUCUGCUCGGUGAUUUAUAAACAGCUGCGGUAUUUUGACCGUGCAAAGGUAGCAUAAUCAUUUGCUUCAUAAUUGGGGGCUUGUAUGAAAGGGUGUACAAAGUUUUUUCUUUAUUUUGAGAAUAAUAAUAAUUUUCUUUUUUAGUGAAGAAGCUAAAAUUUUAAAGUGGGACAAGAAGACCCUUUUGAGCUUUAUUAUUUUUUUUUUCGUUAUAAGAAAAUUAAUUUGGUUGGGGCGACCGAGGAAGAGGGAUCUUCCUUUUUUAUUUUGAUCCAAAGAUUUUGGUUGAUAAAUUAAGUUACCAUAGGGAUAACAGCGUAAUUUUCUUUAAGAGUUCUUAUUAAAAAGAAAGAUUGCGACCUCGAUGUUGACUUAUAAUUUCCUAAUGGUGUAGUAGUUAUUAGGGUGGGUCUGUUCGACCUUUAAAAUUUU
rnacentral:rRNA from 2 species